UAGGGAAUAUUGCGCAAUGGGCGAAAGCCUGACGCAGCAACGCCGUGUGUAGGAUGAAGCAUCUAGGUGCGUAAACUACUGUCAGCAGGGAAUAAAUUGACUGUACCUGCAGAGGAAGCACCGGCUAACUACGUGCCAGCAGCCGCGGUAAGACGUAGGGUGCAAGCGUUAAUCGGACUUACUGGGCGUAAAGGGUGCGUAGGCGGAAGGAUAAGUUAGUUGUGAAAGGCCUGGGCUUAACCUAGGAACUGCAAUUAAGACUGUCCAUCUAGAGUUGAGUAGAGGGGAGCGGAAUUUCCGGUGUAGCGGUGAAAUGCGUAGAUAUCGGAAGGAACAUCAGUUGCGAAGGCGGCUCUCUGGACUCAAACUGACGCUGAGGCACGAAAGCGUGGGUAGCGAACAGGAUUAGAUACCCCUGUAGUCCCUGAGCGGGCUGGCAAGGCGCAU
rnacentral:rRNA from 1 species